rnacentral:rRNA from 1 species
ACGAACGCUGGCGGCGUGCUUAACACAUGCAAGUCGAACGGAAAGGCCCUGCUUGCAGGGUACUCGAGUGGCGAACGGGUGAGUAACACGUGGGUGAUCUGCCCUGCACUUCGGGAUAAGCCUGGGAAACUGGGUCUAAUACCGGAUAGGAGCCAUUUUUAGUGUGAUGGUUGGAAAGUUUUUUCGGUGUAGGAUGAGCUCGCGGCCUAUCAGCUUGUUGGUGGGGUAAUGGCCUACCAAGGCGGCGACGGGUAGCCGGCCUGAGAGGGUGGACGGCCACAUUGGGACUGAGAUACGGCCCAGACUCCUACGGGAGGCAGCAGUGGGGAAUAUUGAACAAUGGGCGCAAGCCGGAUGCAGCGACGCCGCGUGGGGGAUGACGGCCUUCGGGUUGUAAACUCCUUUCGCUAGGGACGAAGCUUUUUGUGACGGUACCUAGAUAAGAAGCACCGGCUAACUACGUG